AUAGGUUUUAACUUUUAACAUUACGCCGUCUAAUAUUUUUUUCCUCGUUGUUUUCCUUUU
rnacentral:sRNA from 1 species